rnacentral:rRNA from 1 species
CCUACGGGAGGCUGCAGUGGGGAAUAUUGCACAAUGGGCGCAAGCCUGAUGCAGCCAUGCCGCGUGUGUGAAGAAGGCCUUCGGGUUGUAAAGCACUUUCAGCGGGGAGGAAGGCGUUAAGGUUAAUAACCUUGGCGAUUGACGUUACCCGCAGAAGAAGCACCGGCUAACUCCGUGCCAGCAGCCGCGGUAAUACGGAGGGUGCAAGCGUUAAUCGGAAUUACUGGGCGUAAAGCGCACGCAGGCGGUCUGUCAAGUCGGAUGUGAAAUCCCCGGGCUCAACCUGGGAACUGCAUUCGAAACUGGCAGGCUAGAGUCUUGUAGAGGGGGGUAGAAUUCCAGGUGUAGCGGUGAAAUGCGUAGAGAUCUGGAGGAAUACCGGUGGCGAAGGCGGCCCCCUGGACAAAGACUGACGCUCAGGUGCGAAAGCGUGGGGAGCAAACAGGAUUAGAUACCCUUGUAGCC